rnacentral:rRNA from 1 species
AGUAACAUCCGGAAACGGGUGCUAAUACCGCAUAGUUUUCUUGAUCGCAUGAUCGGGAAAGGAAAGACGGCCUUUGUGCUGUCGCUUAUGGAUGGACCCGCGGCGUAUUAGUUAGUUGGUGAGGUAACGGCUCACCAAGACGAUGAUACGUAGCCGACCUGAGAGGGUGAUCGGCCACAUUGGGACUGAGACACGGCCCAAACUCCUACGGGAGGCAGCAGUAGGGAAUCUUCCGCAAUGGACGAAAGUCUGACGGAGCAACGCCGCGUGAGUGAAGAAGGUUUUUUCCGGGAUCGUAAAACUCUGUUGUCAGAGAAGAACAAGUUGGAGAGUAACUGCUCCAGCCUUGACGGUAUCUGACCAGAAAGCCACGGCUAACUACGUGCCAGCAGCCGC